rnacentral:rRNA from 1 species
UACGGGGGGGGUAAGCGUUGUUCGGAAUUACUGGGCGUAAAGGGCUCGUAGGCGGCCAACUAAGUCGGACGUGAAAUCCCUCAGCUUAACUGGGGAACUGCGUCCGAUACUGGAUGGCUUGGAUUUGGGAGAGGGAUGCGGAAUUCCGGGUGUAGCGGUGGAAUGCGUAGAGAUCCGGAAGAACACCGGUGGCGAAGGCGGUCUGCUGGGCAGUAGCUGACACUGAGGCGCGACAGCGUGGGGAGCAAACAGG